rnacentral:rRNA from 1 species
UGAGGAAUAUUGGUCAAUGGGCGCGAGCCUGAACCAGCCAAGUAGCGUGAAGGAUGAAGGUCCUACGGAUUGUAAACUUCUUUUAUACGGGAAUAAAGUGGUCCACGUGUGGAUUUUUGCAUGUACCGUAUGAAUAAGCAUCGGCUAACUCCGUGCCAGCAGCCGCGGUAAUACGGAGGAUGCGAGCGUUAUCCGGAUUUAUUGGGUUUAAAGGGAGCGCAGACGGGGGAUUAAGUCAGUUGUGAAAGUUUGCGGCUCAACCGUAAAAUUGCAGUUGAUACUGGUUCCCUUGAGUGCAGUUGAGGCAGGCGGAAUUCGUGGUGUAGCGGUGAAAUGCAUAGAUAUCACGAAGAACCCCGAUUGCGAAGGCAGCCUGCUAAGCUGUAACUGACGUUGAGGCUCGAAAGUGUGGGUAUCAAACAGGAUUAGAUACCCUGGUAGUCCACACGGUAAACGAUGGAUACUCGCUGUUGGCGAUAUACUGUCAGCGGCCAAGCGAAAGCAUUAAGUAUCCCACCUGGGGAGUACGCCGGCAACGGUGAAACUCAAAGGAAUUGACGGGGGCCCGCACAAGCGGAGGAACAUGUGGUUUAAUUCGAUGAUACGCGAGGAACCUUACCCGGGCUUGAAUUGCAGGAGAACGAUCCAGAGAUGGUGAGGCCCUUCGGGGCUCCUGUGAAGGUGCUGCAUGGUUGUCGUCAGCUCGUGCCGUGAGGUGUCGGCUUAAGUGCCAUAACGAGCGCAACCCUCGUGGCCAGUUACUAGCAGGUAACGCUGAGGACUCUGGCCAGACUGCCAUCGUAAGAUGCGAGGAAGGUGGGGAUGACGUCAAAUCAGCACGGCCCUUACGUCCGGGGCUACACACGUGUUACAAUGGGAGGUACAGAAGGCAGCUACCCGGCGACGGGAUGCCAAUCUCCAAAGCCUCUCUCAGUUCGGACUGGAGUCUGCAACCCGACUCCACGAAGCUGGAUUCGCUAGUAAUCGCGCAUCAGCCACGGCGCGGUGAAUACGUUCCC